rnacentral:rRNA from 1 species
AGCAGCCGCGGUAAUUCCAGCUCCAAUAGCGUAUAUUAAAGUUGUUGCAGUUAAAAAGCUCGUAGUUGAACUUCAGGCCUGGCUGGACGGUCCGCCUUCCGGGUGAGUACUGUCUGUGGUCGGGUCCUACCUUCUGGCGAAGCGUCAUGGCCUUAACCGGCCGUGGCGGGGAACCAGGACUUUUACUGUGAAAAAAUUAGAGUGUUCAAAGCAGGCAGUUCGCUUGGAUACAUUAGCAUGGAAUAAUGGAAUAGGACAAUUGUUCUAUUUGUUGGUCUCUAGGACUGUUGUAAUGAUUAAUAGGGAUAGUUGGGGGCAUUAGUAUUCAAUUGUCAGAGGUGAAAUUCUUGGAUUUAUUGAAGACUAACUACUGCGAAAGCAUUUGCCAAGGAUGUUUUCAUUAAUCAAGAACGAAAGUUAGGGGAUCGAAGACGAUCAGAUACCGUCGUAGUCUUAACCAUAAACUAUGCCGACUAGGAAUCGGGCGAUGUUGACAAAAUGACGCGCUCGGCACCU